rnacentral:lncRNA from 1 species
CUGGAUUAGCAAACAUAACUUUCUUUACUUAAACCCAGCUGACUGUGGGCCUCAGCACAUCUGGUGCAAUCGAGUACCAUGGUCUCCAAGUGAUCCCAGAGUGCGUCAAGCUUCCCUUUGGCUGAAGUGCUGAAACUUGGGAAGGCAACGGUCUGGACUGCGCCACAAUCCCCUGCUGGUUGGGGUUUUCUGGCCUCCCGGCUGUUCUUCCUGGGCCCUGCCAGACGAGCACCCACCAGGGGCCUUCACCUUUGCCGUUGCUGACACCCUGCAUCCACACCGGUCCCUGAUCUCUGGUUUCUACAUGAGCUUCUUCAAGGCCUCUCCAGAAUGGCUGUUACCCUUCCUGUUAUCCUGGCCCCCGAAACUAUGGAUGGAGACCAGAGGGGACAACCUUCCAGGUGACCAUCACUCCCCUUGCCCUCCAGGACGGGACGGAUGCAGAUCCUCUUCAGAUGCAUUUUGAAAUGUUUAAAACAAGAAGGGCCCGACAUACAAGAAUAAAACAAAGACAAAGUUCCAGCAAGGUUGAGGACUCAGCCAGGCGUGGUGGCCCAUGCCUGUAAUCCCAGCACUUUGGGAGGCUGAGGCAGAAGGAUCACAAGCUGUUUGUACCACAGAGAGACACUACUGCAGUCAGGUUUGGGAGUUACAUCUCUUUCCCCUAUAUCAACAACACAUAGUCUCAACAACAAAAAACAAAAACGGUAACAACAAUGCUAGAGGUCUGUGGCCAGAAAAAACAUUUUGACAUUCUAAGAGCCAAAGAAAUUAAGAAACCAAUGAAGUAUUCUAGAAGCCUGGAUGAGAGGAAGAACUUCUGUGAGAAAG